AACGAACGCUGGCGGCAGGCUUAACACAUGCAAGUCGAACGCACCGCAAGGUGAGUGGCAGACGGGUGAGUAACGCGUGGGAACCUACCCUUUGGUUCGGAAUAACUCAGGGAAACUUGAGCUAAUACCGGAUAAGCCCUUCGGGGAAGAUUUAUCGCCAUAGGAUGGGCCCGCGUCGGAUUAGCUAGUUGGUAGGGUAAUGGCCUACCAAGGCAACGAUCCGUAGCUGGUCUGAGAGGAUGAUCAGCCACACUGGGACUGAGACACGGCCCAGACUCCUACGGGAGGCAGCAGUGGGGAAUAUUGGACAAUGGGCGAAAGCCUGAUCCAGCCAUGCCGCGUGAGUGAAGAAGGCCUUAGGGUUGUAAAGCUC
rnacentral:rRNA from 1 species